rfam:Ciona savignyi cont_37832, whole genome shotgun sequence.
GCUUAUCACCAUUUUAGAUUGAAUAUACCCGAUCUCGUCUGAUCUCGGAAGUCAAGCAAUCUCGGGCUUGGUUAGUACUUGGAUGGGUGACCGCUUGGGAAUACCAAGUGUGAUAAGCA